rnacentral:rRNA from 1 species
GAUGAACGCUGGCGGCGUGCUUAACACAUGCAAGUCGAACGGGAUCCCAGGAGCUUGCUCCUGGGUGAGAGUGGCGAACGGGUGAGUAAUGCGUGACCGACCUGCCCCAUACACCGGAAUAGCUCCUGGAAACGGGUGGUAAUGCCGGAUGCUCCAGUUGGAUGCAUGUCCUUCUGGGAAAGAUUCAUCGGUAUGGGAUGGGGUCGCGUCCUAUCAGCUUGAUGGCGGGGUAACGGCCCACCAUGGCUUCGACGGGUAGCCGGCCUGAGAGGGCGACCGGCCACAUUGGGACUGAGAUACGGCCCAGACUCCUACGGGAGGCAGCAGUGGGGAAUAUUGCACAAUGGGCGCAAGCCUGAUGCAGCGACGCCGCGUGCGGGAUGACGGCCUUCGGGUUGUAAACCGCUUUUGACUGGGAGCAAGCCCUUCGGGGUGAGUGUACCUUUCGAA